rnacentral:rRNA from 1 species
GGGGGGCUAGCGUUGCUCGGAAUUACUGGGCGUAAAGGGCGCGUAGGCGGAUCGUUAAGUCAGAGGUGAAAUCCCAGGGCUCAACCCUGGAACUGCCUUUGAUACUGGCGAUCUUGAGUAUGAGAGAGGUAUGUGGAACUCCGAGUGUAGAGGUGAAAUUCGUAGAUAUUCGGAAGAACACCAGUGGCGAAGGCGACAUACUGGCUCAUUACUGACGCUGAGGCGCGAAAGCGUGGGGAGCAAACAGGA